AUCGCAUGCUAGCGCAUGAGUGCUCUGGUGCAUUGAUCAGCCUAGAGAGAAUUCGGUGAAAAUCCGAAGCGGUCCCGCCACUGUUAAAAGGAAGCAUACGCACAAGAAAGUGAUCAUAAGCCACUGGCUUUAAUUAAGCUGGGAAGGCAGUGGGUAUGUGUUUGACCUUUAAAGCCAGGAGAACUGCUGGAGCACUAUCGAGAUCU
rnacentral:ncRNA from 17 species